AAAUGUCCAAAAAGAACAACAAAGGCAGGCGAUAUUAACGAGAAACAAAAAUCAGCUCACUUGAUUCUUACUAGUUCGAACUAGGUAAUCUUCAUCAAGAAUCUCUAAGCUGCAGUGAACAAGAACAAAUUCCAUCAAGAAUUUCUAAGCUGCAGUGAACAAGAAACAAAAAGUUGAAUGAAGAAGAACAAAUUUCAUCAAGAAUUUCUAAGCAAAGCUAGAUCGAACUGGGUAAUUUUCUUGCUGAUCUGUUUUCUACGUUCCACUACAGACCAAUGAUAGAUCUCAUCUCAAGAGUUGAACGGAUUCAACUACAAAUUGCCUAAGUUUUCAUCGCAAGCUCUAAUUCACUGCAGUGAUUUGAUAUAUGGAGUAUUUCUUAGAGCAAAUAAGGUCUUUAAUCUUUCAAGAGUAUAACAACUCAUGGACUGCAUCUCAUAUAUACAGAAAGACCCACAUCGUGUUGCUGGGUAUGUCUUCAUCCCCAUUCACCCCUCUUUUGUUCAAUUAAUCAUUGCAUGUGUUGCUUGUUUUUGCUGAUGUACUUAGCUUGUUGUAGAUUUCAUGCUUGUUUCAAUUCCUACAUAUUAUUACAUUUUUAGUAUUUUAAUUUCAUCAAUUUAAAGAUUGGGUUUUGUUUUUGUCUUCAUUUUUGGUAAAUAAAAAAGAAUCUUACAAGAAUUGUACAAAUACUUCAAAUAAAAAUUGGAAAAAUUCAUUAUAUUUGAAAGAAAAAUAAAAAGUUGAAAAGAAGAGAAAAAAAAGCAAAACUUUUCCGCUAAACUCCCCACCUCCCUAAAUUACAGAGACUUUCACCACUAUUCAGUUUUUUUCUCUAAUUUCUGCCCACGUUCAGUAUCAGUACUUUAUCUAAAUCAUUUUCAUUUUCAUCUCAUUUUAAAGAUUGUCUCCGAC
rnacentral:lncRNA from 1 species